CAGAAAUGCACUUUAGGUCUUAUAAACAUUAAUGAAGACUGUGUGUUGAUUAAAUUGCUGUAGUUGGGAGUGUUUUUUAUGCUUUGAAUUUGAAGCAAUUACCUGUUCCUAACUGUAUGUGAUGCUUAUUUUGUUUGGGCAUGUUCGGCAGAUGGGUCUAAUUACUAGUAUUACUGGGAAAAAAUUCAAUGAAACAUGCACUUCUCUUUUGGUUUGGUGCCUCAAUGAAUAGCUUAGUUGAACAACUGUUCUGGUUACUAUCUUGGAAUCAUUGGUGGUUAUUAUUUAGUCUGGAAUGGUGCUUAAUUACUCUGUUUUUCUCCUUUAUUUUUAUGGAACUAUCUUCUUCUAUACCAGGAUUUGUGUAGGGUAUUUCCUUGCUGGUUUAAUGCCUUCUUUCCACGGACUGCUGAUUCCCCUUGGUAAUUUUUGGACUUAGAUAUGUUCCAUGAACAACAUCUUUAGAUCGAUUGUAGCAUCAGAUCAUAAAUCUCUCUUCUCCCUAUUAAGACAUGAGUCCAUGGUAUAUAAUUUUAGGCCUUGCACUGUUCAGUUCCCCUGAACUGAACUGAACUGAACCUCGGUUCUUUUUUCUCUUCUAGGAUCCAGAGCUCUAACCGAAGCCUUUAGUUCUUGGUUUCAAUUCUCGGCUCUUGGUUUGGGUCUUCUGUUCCUGACAUAAAAAAUAUAUCGUUUUAGCUAAAAUUAUAUAGUUUUAAGCUAAAUUCAUUUAUUUUAAUUUUUAAAAUUAAAUUAAAUUUUUCUAAAAGAAAAUAAAAUUAGAGCUUACCUUUUCUUUUUCAAAUAUAAAUACUUUUUAAAUUUUUUUUUUAAAAACAUAUAUAUAAUGUGUGGCGUUGUAUUUUUCAUUAAAU
rnacentral:misc_RNA from 1 species